ACCUGGUUUUCACUCUGAGUAACAUGAGGAACUCCUGGAGGGUUUGAAAAGUUGACUGAAAGGAUGUGACUUCUAUUUUCAAAGUUCCCCUCUGGCCCUUAGGUGGAGCAUGGACGAUAGGACAGUGAGCUCAGAAGUGGGUGACAGGAGCGAGGAGGUUGCAAUCGUAAUUCAAGAAAGAGAUGGCGGUGGCUUGGGUGAAGGAGAUGUGGUAGCUGGGGAGGAGGGGUGGAAUGGUCAAAUUCUGGAUGGAAUAUGACUAAUAAUGGACUGCACUUCAUAGAAUUCUUGUUGCAAGGAGUAAAUGAGUUAACACAGAUAAAGCAUUUCCAAUACUGUCCUAAAACAUUCACAGUGAUUUCUGGUGAUUCGGACUGUGGGCUCUGGCGUCGAACUGCCUGAGUUUGGAUCCCAGCUCGGUCACUUCCUACUGAACAUAGGGUGCGGAAGCCAGCCCUAGAGCGGCUAUGGGUCCGAGAGGAAUCUGUGGCCUGCAGGAACCAGACCCACAUCCCAUCUCCUGAUUCCCACUUCUGUGCUCCAUUGCCAGUGGGCUCAACCGAUUAACACAAAGACUGAAUAUCUCAAUACCCUUAACAUUUAGACUCACAUUAACUCUGCACUGCAGACCACAUUUGGAGGCUCGAGGAGUAGCAUUGUUGGGGAAUAUUCAGUUCAUAGGGAAACAAGAAUUUUGGACUUGUAGAGAGAAAUGUCUAAGUAUCAAGUAAUGCUCUAAGGACUUUUUCUUCAUUAACAUUUUGUUAUUAAUUAAUUUUAAAUUAUCAUUCUAUGAUUAAUUUCCAUGCUUUCUUUCCAGUCCCACUGUCCAGCGUCACGUCUUAACUGGUCUCUCUGCCCUCUAUCUUACCCACAUCAAAUUCAUCUUACACACAAUUACCAAAAAUAUCUUUCUAACAUGCUAAUCUGAUCAUGUUACUUUCUUUCUUGAAAACCGCUUCUUCUUUGAUGUGGUGACAUCCUAAAAUCCCAGUUGUACUACAGAACGUCUCUCCCUCCACUACACCUGUUAUGACCUCUCUGGCUUCAUCUCCCAUUAUUAGUCCCCUUGUUCUACAAGUUACAACCACAACCAUUUAUUUUUUCCUCCACACACUCAUCAUCGCUUCACACAUGGAGCCCCGGGCACAUACAGUACCUCUUGUCUGGAAAACCCUAAUGGUACUUCUGUACCUGGAAAACUCAAGCUUCAAGAUUCAUCCUAAGAAUUGCCUCUAUCAGGGAAACUUUCCUUUUCUUACCUUUAUCUAGAAAUUGUCACAUUCCACCUGUGAAUCUGCACCUGGGACUGGAUCUCCCAUCAGUGAACCUUUCUAGGCCAGGCCGGUAUUAUACUUUCUCAACCCCCAUAAUGCCUGACACAGGGCUUGGCACUUGUUAGGUGCUCAAUAAA